GGCUCGGUAGCUUAAUUUCAGAGCGAAGGACUCAUAAUCCUUGGGGUGCCGGUGAGAGUCCGGCCCGAGCCACCA
rnacentral:tRNA from 1 species